rnacentral:tRNA from 1 species
UCCCCUGGAGUCCAGUGAUUAGGACUCUGCAUUCUUACUGCUGAGGGUCUAGGUUCAACCCCUGGUCAGGGAA